ACGGAGGGUGCGAGCGUUAAUCGGAAUCACUGGGCGUAAAGCGCACGUAGGCGGUGUCGUAAGUCGGAUGUGAAAGCCCUCGGCUCAACCGGGGAACUGCAUUCGAUACUGGCACGCUUGAGAGCCGGAGAGGGUGGCGGAACUCCAGGGGUAGGAGUGAAAUCCUGGAAUCCUUGGGGGACCACCUGUGGCGAAGGCGUCCCACCAGGACGGCUCCGACAGUGAGGAGCGAAAGCGGGGGGAGCAAACCG
rnacentral:rRNA from 1 species